rnacentral:rRNA from 1 species
AUACGUAGGGUGCAAGCGUUAAUCGGAAUUACUGGGCGUAAAGCGUGCGCAGGCGGUUUUGUAAGACAGGGGGGAAAUCCCCGGGCUCAACCUGGGAACUGUCAUUGUGACUGCAAGGCUGGAGUGCGGCAGAGGGGGAUGGAAUUCCGCGUGUAGAAGUGAAAUGCGUAGAUAUGCGGAGGAACACCGAUGGCGAAGGCAAUCCCCUGGGCCUGCACUGACGCUCAUGCACGAAAGCGUGGGGAGCAAACAGGAUUAGAUACCCUGGUAGUCCACGCCCUAAACGAUGUCAACUGGUUGUUGGGGAUUUAUUUUCUCAGUAACGAAGCUAACGCGUGAAGUUGACCGCCUGGGGAGUACGGCCGCAAGGUUAAAACUCAAAGGAAUUGACGGGG